UACAGAGGGUGCUAGCGUUAAUCGGAAUUACUGGGCGUAAAGCGUGUGUAGGUGGUUAGAUAAGUUAGAUGUGAAGUCCCCGGGCUUAACCUGGGCAUUGCGUUUAAGACUGUUUAGCUUGAGUACUGUAGAGGAUAGUGGAAUUUCCAGUGUAGCGGUGAAAUGCGUAGAUAUUGGAAGGAACACCAGUGGCGAAGGCGACUAUCUGGACAGAUACUGACACUGAGACACGAAAGCGUGGGGAGCAAACAGG
rnacentral:rRNA from 1 species